rnacentral:rRNA from 1 species
UUCUUGGUCAUUUAGAGGAAGUAAAAGUCGUAACAAGGUUUCCGUAGGUGAACCUGCGGAAGGAUCAUUAAAGAAAUUUAAUAAUUUUGAAAAUGGAUUUUUUUGUUUUGGCAAGAGCAUGAGAGCUUUUACUGGGCAAGAAGACAAGAGAUGGAGAGUCCAGCCGGGCCUGCGCUUAAGUGCGCGGUCGUGCUAGGCUUGUAAGUUUCUUUCUUGCUAUUCCAAACGGUGAGAGAUCUCUGUGCUUUUGUUAUAGGACAAUUAAAACCGUUUCAAUACAACACACUGUGGAGUUUUCAUAUCUUUGCAACUUUUUCUUUGGGCAUUCGAGCAAUCGGGGCCCAGAGGUAACAAACACAAACAAUUUUAUCUAUUCAUUAAAUUUUUGUCAAAAACAAGAAUUUUCGUAACUGGAAAUUUUAAAAUAUUAAAAACUUUCAACAACGGAUCUCUUGGUUCUCGCAUCGAUGAAGAACGCAGCGAAAUGCGAUACGUAAUGUGAAUUGCAGAAUUCCGUGAAUCAUCGAAUCUUUGAACGCACAUUGCGCCCCUUGGUAUUCCAGGGGGCAUGCCUGUUUGAGCGUCAUUUCCUUCUCAAACAUUCUGUUUGGUAGUGAGUGAUACUCUUUGGAGUUAACUUGAAAUUGCUGGCCUUUUCAUUGGAUGUUUUUUUUCCAAAGAGAGGUUUCUCUGCGUGCUUGAGGUAUAAUGCAAGUACGGUCGUUUUAGGUUUUACCAACUGCGGCUAAUCUUUUUUUAUACUGAGCGUAUUGGAACGUUAUCGAUAAGAAGAGAGCGUCUAGGCGAACAAUGUUCUUAAAGUUUGACCUCAAAUCAGGUAGGAGUACCCGCCGAACUUAAGCAUAUCAAUAAGCGGAGGAA